rnacentral:tRNA from 1 species
GGUUCUAUGGUGUAUAAACAUAUCUAAUUGCAAACUAGAAGUCGCCUUAAUGGGGCUAGAACCU